GUGUGUGUGUGUGUGUGUGUGUGUGUGUGUGUGUGUGUCCGGCUUGCUUUGACAGUGAUAAUGUUCAUACGGGGGUCUGUGUGAUUGGCUUGGGAUAUUGGAAUGGUCAACUAAAUCAUACCUGAUGGACGGCCACACGUUUACUUAAGGGCCUCCAGUAGACAUGAAGAGCCCUGAGCGACGCUCCGGAGCGAGAUCCAACACACUGGGCAGGAAGGAGAGUAUCCAACUCAAGUGUAAAAGGAUGCAAGCGGUGUGUUCAGAUCAGUGACUUCAAACUAGGACUACACCAAUCAGGAUCAAUGGAGGAUGGACACCAAAAGGAAUUUCACAAGGAGAGUGACGUUGGAAAGGGACCUAAAUGGAUAUUCAAGAUGACCUUCAGACCUGUAAUGAGACGGCUCUUCCUACCUGGCUGGAUUGAUGGAGAGCCCUGUGGAUCUUGUCUUGCUCUCAGUUGCACGUCUUCUCAUUCUGAACUGUAUUUGUUUCGGACAGGACUAGCUGAAAGAUUGGUUCCCUUAAAUCAGAACCAGCUAGUGCGCUCUUCGUGCUGAAGUUGUGCUCUUCAGCUGAGGAGGUAAGGAAACCUUCACUGGGGCUUCAAGGUGUAAAGAGGAGAAUGUUUCAAAGUGUUCCAUGGUACUCUGAUGAAGACCGUUGUUGUGUUCCACUGGCUGCGAGGAAGAACCCACACAUCUUCCUCUUGGCCUUUCUCCUCUGAGAAUCCUGGCGCCAUCUUGAAGGAUAUUCCAGCUCAUGUAACUGAUGUCGCGAAAGAUUCUCAAACACUUGGUCUCUCCUGAGGGGCGUUUCUAUGGAACUGAAGACUUCAGACGGCACAGUAUCCCAGCAUGCAUCUCUGCUCACUCAGACCACACCCCCAUGAGUAGGAUGUAACACUCUAGUGAUGGAGAUGUAUAGUUUUAUAAGUAACGAGGGAGCAGACUAAGGUGAUAAGAACACAAUGGAAUGUCAAGUCUGUAAAUCUUUAAACCAUGAAGAUGGUUGGAUAGUUCAGGAAUUGGUCUUUUUAUUAUGGGCAGUCCUUUCACUCAGAUGCCCACGUCUCACUGGAGCUGUACAUGUGUUGGCUGGCUGGCAUGAUUUGCUGUUGGUGAUGAGGCGGUCAGGGUGACGUUGCAGGGCUAUGGUCGGCUCUCUGUGAGGUCAACGUUUAGAUUUGCUCUGUAUGGUUUGUACCCUGAAUAAUCUAGAUAAUUGUAAAAUGUAGACAGUUUUGUUUUGAAUGAUUCCAGGAUUUUAGGUUUAAAGUUGUUGUGGGACGUACAUGGUAGUUUGGUUCUUCGUAUGGUUUUGAGUGAUAUAACUUGUACACACUGGGUGCAUAAUAAUGUAAAGGUACACUGAAUAUUAUUAAUGACCAACAGCAACAAACAGAUCUCCUCAAGGUAAGUCUGUUGGCUGUGUUUUAAUGAAGACCAUCGCUGGACUUCAUGAUCUUCCUCCGUUCAGCUCAAGGUGAGGCGCUGGUUCUGUUUUUUCUUUGGUUGGUUCCGGCUGGAAUGUUCGGAUUUCAGUCGGACGGUUUGUGCUUCCCGCCGUGGAAGGUUCUGAGUGAGGUCACUUGAUUUAGUCCCAAUGGUUAGCAUAGAACGUUGUAGUCUUGACAGCCAUAAGAAACCACCUGGCAGUUAGGGAAUCUGGCGGAACGUUCUGGAUUGUAUUUGCGUAACCUCGAGCCGUUGCCAACGGAAACUAUUUUUCAGUCGGUUUCCAUUGGGAAUUAUUUCCAUUGGGAAUUGUUGCCCCUAUCUUAAACAACUAAAGUUUGAUAUUAAAUACAUACUGACACGUACGUCGUACAAUAUGUUGAUCAUUUCCGAUGGUUGCGCCGUACUCUUAACCACGAUGACGUUGCGGGACUCUCGGCGUACAAAACGGCGUUCUACUUGCGGGCCUAUUUUUGACAUCAGGGAAGGCUUAAAAUCAUUUCAAGGUGGAAGAUAAUUUGACAUUUCUUCAACGGAACCCAGCACCUGAAUAUGGCUGAGUAUAUUUGAUUUAAUAUCGAUACUGCUUAGUGUUCUUUGUUACUUCAGCUUUUGUACGUUCUAAAUAUCUGCUGUCAUUAAUUGCCACAGAAGUUAAACCAUACCCAAUGGAAUGACGUUAAACAACGACUUUGGUGCAGAGUUAACAACUGGAUAAUAUAAAAGCUAAAAUAAUGGCCAUCAUUCCCACAUGUUACAGUAGAAGAUACUCUAGAACUGUACAAGGUUAAAAAGGUAACGUGUAGUUUGUCCCAAGGUGUCUGCCUCCUCACCAAGAGCAAGACCUCCACCUCCUCACCCAGAGCCAAACCUCCAGAACAGCUGAAAGGCGAGGCUGAGAGGCUGGGGACCGGAGGCUUGUGGUGCCAGGGUGGACCGGAGACUGAGGCUGGAGACCAGGGGCCUGCAGCACCGGACCAGAGGGUGAUUUACUGCUGAGACCAACUGUUUGUAACCAGACCAGGAAUCCAUGGCUGAAGGAGCUGAUGGAGGAGCCGUGCUGAAGGAGCUGAUGGAGUCGUGCUGAAGGCCCUGCCUGGUUGAGGAGCUGGUGGAGGCCCUGCCUGGUGAAGGACGUCUGUCGUGGGGUAGAUGGAGCUUGACUCUGAAGUGAUCAUCACACUCACUGCCACUUCUCGUAGAAUACUGCUACCACAAACUACCGGCGUUUGUACCAUAUAUACCAGACGACUACAUCUGUUUUACCACAUGUUGAAGCAAGACUUCCGCUGUUUGUUCCAGACCAGGACUCUGUCUGAGGAGAGCUGAUGGAGGAGCUGAGACGCUGGAGGACGACUAGGAAUCGACCAACAAGGAUUCCUCAACGUGUUUCUGGAGCGGAGGCGAGCUGGUAGGGGAGCCGUGAAUCUGGAGGAUGACCAUCACUCUACCAACCAGGAUUACGUUAGGGCCAGACUCACGCUGUUUGUUCAAGACCAGGACUCUGGCUGAGGAGAGCUGCUGGAGGAGCCUAGACUCUGGAGGACGACAUCACUCUACCAACCAGGAUCCUCACCAGGAAUCUGGAGGACUGAUGGAGAAGCCGUACAUCUGGAAGGCAAAUCCUGAGGACAACCAGGACGCUACCAUUAAGGAUUCCGCACACACUUGAGCUGAACCUCACCUGAUCCUGUUUGGUCAGGGGCAGACACACCUGAGCUGAACCCGCCCUGAUCCAGACAUCCUGAUGGUCCCGUCUCCUCAGUUCAUCUGAGCCUCGUCCACCAGAAGACCUGCUGAGCUCAGCAGUCUGAGGCUGAUGGAUCAAUGACCUCCAGUGGGAGUGAUCUUAUUGACCCCACAUGUAACCGUGUGCUUCCACACGCCUUUCCCUCACAUCUGUCACUAACCUCACUACUUCACUACUGCUUCCUCUUCUUCUUCCUUUUCUGUGGUUCGAACCUUUACACGGAAGGCGCGUCUUCCUGCCCUCAGAGGGUUCAGCGUUAGGGUUGAGAGUCAGGGUUUAGAGUCAGGGACAGAGCUGGUCAGGGAGGACUGCUUUUACACAAUGCAGAUGCAGGAGGUGGGGUCUGUUGCGUCCCCAGUUGAUUUACUGCUGAGACCAACUGUGUUUGUAACCAGACAAGGAAUCCAUGGCUGAUGGAGGAGCCGUGCUGAAGGAGCUAAAGGAGUCGUGCUGAAGGCCCUGCCUGAUGGAGGAGCUGGUGGAGGACGUCUGUUACGGGACCAGGACUCUGUCGGAGGAGAGUUGAUAGGAGCUGAGACGCAGGAGGACGACUAGGGAAUCGACCAACAAGGAUUCCUCCUAAACCAGGAAUCUGGAGGACUGAUGGAGAAGCCGUACAUCUGGAAGGCAAAUCCUGAGGACAACCAGGACUCUACCAUCAAGGAUUCCUCACACACCUGAUCUGAACCUCACCUGAUCCUGUUUGGUCGGGGGUAGACACACCUGAGCUGAACCCGCCCUGAUCCUGACAUCCUGCUACUCCCGUCUCCUCAGUUCAUCUGCGCCUCGUCCUCCAGAAGACCUGCUGAGCUCAGCGGUCUGAGGCUGAUGGAUCAAUGACCUCCAGUGGGAGUGAUCUUCUUGACCCCACAUGUAACCGUGUGCUUCCACACGCCUUUCCCUCACAUCUGUCACUAACCUCACUACUUCACUACUGCUUCCUCUUCUUCUUCCUUUUCUGUGGUUCGAACCUUUACACGGAAGGCGCGUCUUCCUGCCCUCAGAGGGUUCAGCGUUAGGGUUGAGAGUCAGGGUUUAGAGUCAGGGACAGAGCUGGUCAGGGAGGACUGCUUUUACACAAACCUCUUCACUUGCUUUCGGAAUGGUGGUGACAUUUUGAAAAGAUUCAUUUGGGAAAAUGUUUUCCUCUGCUUUCCUUUACAAAAUUGUAUUCAACUUCUGUCAAGUGUUUGUUUAUAUAUUAAAAUCCCACA